CAACUUUCAACAACGGAUCUCUUGGCUCUCGCAUCGAUGAAGAACGCAGCGAAUUGCGAUAAGUAAUGUGGAUUGCAGAAUUACGUGAAUCAUCGAAUCUUUGAACGCAUAUUGCACUCUCUGGUAAUCCGGGGAGUAUGCCUGUUUGAGGGUCA
rnacentral:rRNA from 1 species